UCCUCUCCCCCAUCUUCUGAUGUGCUUUAUUCUACCCUUGUUUUCCCACCAUCUCAUGAUCCAGUUGCAGCUUGGCUAAUAUGAAGACAAUUGCUGUUGCCAUCCGUGAAAACCUAGCCUAGCACCGUGGACGGCUGACGGAGGAGGAGGAGGAGGAGCAAAAGUGGGAUGAGGCAGGUGCAUCCGCUAGCGCCGCUGGGAGGGCUCUGGUUGUCGACUACAAGCUGCUAUACCCCCUGUUCCUGCCAGUCUACGAGGCCCCUAAUUGCAAGGUUACCACCUCCACCAUUCUCGCAUCAUAUCACCAGUAUUUGAUACGAGUUUUGAGGCAUUGUUGUAUUAUAAAUGGAACCACUGUCUGUGGUGCGUAUGUGUAUGUACCGAGAAAGAGCUUUCAUCUGGCCACACAUUCAGAAUGUUUAGUGUUGAUGAUGGCAUAAUUUGGGGGGGAGCUUUGCUUGUUUCAACACGCAGAAUAUAUUCAGUUAUUAUCAUUCGUCUUUGAAAACA